rnacentral:rRNA from 1 species
CCUACGGGAGGCAGCAGUGGGGGAUAUUGCACAAUGGGGGAAACCCUGAUGCAGCGACGCCGCGUGUGGGAAGACGGUCCUCUGGAUUGUAAACCACUUUCCCCAGGGACGAAGAUGACGGUACCUGGGGAGGAAGCCCCGGCUAACUACGUGCCAGCAGCCUCGGUAAUACGUAGGGAUCGAGCGUUGUCCGGAAUUACUGGGUGUAAAGGGAGCGUUGGCGGGACUGAAAGUUGGGGGGAAAAUUUACCGUCUCAACCGGUAGGCGCACUGCAAACUGCAGGUCUUGAGUGAAGUAGAGGCAGGCGGAAUGCCUGGUGUAGCGGUGAAAUGCGUAGAUAUUAGGAGGAACACCAGUGGCGAAGGCGGCCUGCUGGGCUUUUACUGACGCUGAGGCUCGAAAGUGUGGGGAGCAAACAGGAUUAGAUACCCGAGUAGUC